UCUGGAAGGAGAGAAGAGGUUACAAUGCCAGUAUUCGAGGGACAAUGAAGUGUGUGGGAACAAGGAGGGCUCUGAAAGUAGAGGAAUGCUGAUAGUGAGAUGUUGGUGCAUUCAUUUUAUUGUAGCCCGAACAACUGUAUAUUCACCCAUGGACAUGAUGUUACCACUCAUUCAAUCUCAAAUCUAACUAAAGCUUUUUCCAAGUGAUAUUGCGUUCUUCAAUUGGUAAAUUAUGGACCUUUGGUACUAAAUUUUCACAUCAGGAAUCUUCUCCUCUGGACCUUUGGCUUUGACGUCAACCAUAUUGAAAUAUAUAUGUAUUUGAAACUGAAGCUGGAUGAUUCCAAAGGCUGAGCACAAUUUUCUUUCACUUUGACCUAUCAGUCAGGGAUCACUGUGCAAGUAAAUUUAAACUCUGAUGAAUCCAUGCUUAAUAUGCGACCGUAUGUCAUUGCAGGACAUAUGCAUCUUUGCUCAAUUUUCCCUAUUCAUGCGCUACACAUUGAAACAUCAUGCCCUUUCAGGGAAAACAUUAAUAAAUGAGGGGUGGAGUUAUUGAAGAAUGUAUUGGCCUUGGAAAGUAUGCUAUGAAACUAAGCUCUGUAGCUUUCAGGAGCAUGUGGCGCUGUAAUACAGAGGUACAGCUUGUAGAUUUC